rnacentral:rRNA from 1 species
UACGUAGGGGGGCUAGCGUUGUCCGGAAUCAUUGGGCGUAAAGAGCGUGUAGGCGGUCCGGUAAGUCCGCUGUGAAAGUCGGGGGCUCAACCCUCGAAUGCCGGUGGAUACUGUCGGGCUAGAGUGCGGAAGAGGCGAGUGGAAUUCCUGGUGUAGCGGUGAAAUGCGUAGAUAUCGGGGAGGAACAUCAGUGGCGAAGGCGGCCCUCUGGUCCAGUACUGGACGCUGAGGCGCGAGAGCGUGGGGAGCGAACCGG